rnacentral:lncRNA from 1 species
CGCUCACAUGUAAGGGUUCACAAAGUCAAGGGUACACAUGUAAAUAUGGAUCGUGUCAUACAGGGUUUCGUAUGUCAUAAAACUAUUGUUACAAGGGUACACAAAUAUUAAAGCAAAAGAACAUAGUACUCAUGCACGAGAAACAUUGAUUUAUUAAUAGCAUAAAAACAUGCUCUAAGUAACGGUUCGCAGAAUAAUAAAAAAUUAAACUUUGAAAUAGGUCACAACUUUAAAUGUACAAUUUAAGUAAUUGUUCAAUAAUUAUAUCAACAGUUUAAAUAAAAUUCUAAACCUAUCAUUUAUUUCCUAGGUUCGCUAAUAACCAAUCAGGUGUCUUGCCAGAUCAUCGACCUCGCCAAUGCUAUCCAUGACCUACUUACCUGAGAAGCAAGAAAGGAGUAAGUGAGUUCAAUUUGAACUCAGUGAGUAAUCAAAAACCAACAGAUUAUGCUUUAAAAGUAGAGUUUGAAAAUAGUAUAUUACAUAGUUUUGAAACCGUCUUACAUGCUGGGUUUGCAGGUGGGAUUACGAGACCCAGUUCACACGUUUUUUCAGAAAACAUACUCACAUAAAAUCCCCGAUCACUCAUCGAAAACAUAGAAAAUUUUAGCUUUUCCCUUAUCCUUAUUGGUAGAUAGUCCAACUGGUUCGUAAUAAACACACAAAUUACUAAACAGAACAUAUGGAUUUCACACAUGCAAGCAAACUUAGCUUUUAGGACAAUCAACCUUAACAAGACAGAGACUUACCCUGAUUGCUACGAAUAAAAUUUUAGAACAGUGGUUUUGACACCAUAUAUUGAGUGCAGAAUUUCAUAGGACUUAGGGUCAUUUUAUAGACCUAAAAGUCCUAGUUACCUUUGGAUACCCUAUCUGACUUAAGAAAGAUGUCACUUGCACGUAAAGUGUUCGUAGAUACACUAAACCUCUUUUUUCCUAAUUUGAUUCUAACUAUAUCUUUGACCUGCGAACACAGUUCUUCAAACAAAUUGGCAAACCCCAGCUCGCCAAAUAGACUAGCGAACCCUCACUUUGUACGACCAAAACUUUCAGCCCCGAUCUUGGGAUGUGACACUUUCACUAUUUACAGAUAGAUUCCUUUCUUCAGUUAUCAAACACAACCUUUUCAAUUUUUUUCUUUCAAUGAGAAUUCAUCCAUCCCACUAUCUCUUCCAUUGUUCCUUAAGUUAUUUGGUCCUUUAUCAAUAUCCUUUGCACACUAAGGUAUUCAGAACUUAAUUGGUAGACUUAUGUUCAACCCAAGCUAAUCUUCAUAGUUACAACUUAUUGAUAUUCCAAUAUUUAAAUUUUAACUUAUAUUAAGAGCAUCUUCUCAAUGAUAUUCCAAUUACAUCUCUUCAUAUCAUCACCUUCGAUCCUAUAUUAACUUGGUCUUGCACUUACCAUGUAAUCAAUAGAUAUCUUGAAUCAUUCUAAUUUCAAUGCAACAUUUAAGAGCCAAACUGAACAGUCAUAGCUAUAUACAGAACCCGCCACAUGGGUCAUCCAUUAGAAUACGCCUCUGGGGCUUGUCAAUUAUUUACCACCUUGGUGAUUAGACAUAGACCUACAUCAUAGUCCCUUAAACAUUGACAUAAUUCAUACCAGACAUUUCUGAUCCCCAGUCAUACAACACUUAGAACUCAUGCUUCACAUAUUAGGCACAUUGAUGUAGAUGUACUUCAACAUAAUACAUAUAUAUAUGCAACGUAACAUGCAAUUAAAACUCAUUUAAUCUCUUAUAGUUAUACUCUCUUCUUCAAUCUUCUAUAUACUCUUCACGAUUACCAAAAUAUAGAUCAUAACAAUGCCUUGAUGGAUACUUAGCAACUUUGUAUAAACUCCUGUAUGUCAACCAUUUUUUUGCAUCAUUAAUUCCAACAGUUACCACCACAACCUUAUCCUUCUCUUAUAUGUUAGUUAUCAUGCUAUUAUCCUACUAAAUCUUCCUUAUCCAGUUAACUGAGAAAUCCUUUCAAACCUGUCACAAAUUUUUGUCACAAUAAUAAUUUCUUAACAACACAUAUCCUCAUAAUCCACUUCCAACAUGCCUUAAGCCAUACUCUUUUUUUUCAAAAAUUAUUCACUGACAUUUACCUUGGGCGGAUAUAUAUGUAUUCGGUGAAUACUUUCAUUGAACUAAAUGUCUUUAAAAUGACACUCAAACAUACUCUAAUUCUAUAUCACACGUAUUGACACUGACAAGAUACUACUUGGACCAUUCAAAUGAAUUUCACGUCCAUUUCUUCAAUGAUAUGUAUAUUAAGAAUACCCAUUUUCCAGAUUUCUUAUGAUUUUAGGAAAGGUCAUUAAACCCCAGACAGUUGUGAUUUGUUAGAUUCCAAAUAAUUUUGAUUCAACCAAUCAUUGUAAUAUCGACAACUCUUAAUGACAGAUCCUUAAAUCUUACACGAUUACAAAUAUAUAUCUAACCAUUUCAGAUCAUCUUGGUGAAUACCUUUACCAUCUUGCAACUACACGGUUCUUUUCGAUAACUUAUUCUAUUAUUUCAUAGAUCUUACUCAACCCUUGACCUAAACCAUAGUAAUACUUUAACUCAGUUGUACUUAUUAUAAAACUAUCUGACUCUUUUACAUCUUACCAGAAAUACAGGUAUGUAAAUCUUACCAGGCAUUCAUGACAAAUCACACCAUUCAAGCUAAACAGAACAUACAAUCAUUUCUUUUACUGCCAUGGAUCAUGACCUCAUGGUCUUGCGUAAACAUACAUGUAUAGUGAUAUGCCAUUUCGAUUAUUAUGUCGAAGGCUAUGCCAUGAAUCAUUCCUAUUAUAUCAUUUUAUUUUCUUUGCUGUCAUAGGAUUCAUCGUCAUGGACUUGCACACAUAUCAUGUAUCGUGAUCGACAAAUUCAGUCAUGAAUUACUGAAGGCUAUGCCAUGAGUUUUUUCCAGUCAAAAGAUGUCAUGGGUCAAAACAACAUGGUCUUUCGUUUUGUUCCAUUCAUGUUGUGACUUGCCAAUCUGAUCAGUAAUAACUACUCCACAAGGAGAACUUAACCAUGGUGUUCACUUACCCAAACUUGUUCAUAUGCCAAAUAACUUCUUACUUUUAGUUCCCGAAUUAUACUUAAUAAUUAUAUUAAUAUCAAUUAUUCAUGACCUAACUUUAUUCUUACAAUCUUAUACAUGUUACCUUAUUUAUGUACUUGUCAUGUUUUUCAAUUUGCAUUUUGAUCAUGUUCAUAGAUAUAUUUUAAUAUGAACAAGAUGCAUGCAACGGUCAUAGCAAAGAGUCACUUGAAAACUCACUUACAACAACUUGAACGCCAGAUUCAAGCACCGGACUUGCAAUCAGCAGCAAUCACUGCUCAAAGAACAUAGAAACAUCAUCAAAACCCAUUCACAUGUAUUUUAGUAUCUUCUUCUCAAACAUUAACAACCCCAUACAAAGCCCCUUUUUCUUUAAUCUUACUAUUCACCAAAGUUAACAAAACUUACUCUUCGGGAUUCCUCAUGCAUAACUGAAAUACUCACCCAGGAUAUGAUAAAAUAUCCUACUUAAGAUAUUAUCUUCAGUUCCAGCUCAAAGAUAACAAAUUGUAUUCAACUUUCAAAAUAAGCCUACAGCAACAUCCUAAUGGGAGGAAGAAGGGAAAACUCCCUUUUAUCAAACCCAUUUAACUAAUAUAUAAUUACAAAUAAGACCAAUAUUCCCUUAGUAAAACUUGACACAUGUCACACUCUUUAAAAAAAUCGUCAUUAGUGGUUUACAGUAGUAAAUGAAAAUAUAAAUAAGAAUCAAAUAUAGACAAUAUAUGGUUACCCUAACUAGAGGGUCCCUAAUUACUACACUUAUAAUGCAGCUAGCACAGUCACCCUAAUAACAUGGCGAACUACGCCUUUGGCAAGUACUCCUUUUAGAAUCAUCUCUCCACUUGGUUGUUAUCUCAUUCCAACCAACAUAAUGAUCUGUCAUUAAACCAUCCUCGACUUAAACAUUGUUAAGAACACACCCAUUCUAUGCUCUAAAGGAAACUAUCAGAUGGAUACCACUUCGCCAAAUAGACUAUUUCAAAACUACGCACCAGCCUUGAAUCCACCAAAACUAGGGUGUUACAUACCUUCAUUUUGUAAAAUACCAGUCUAGUAGUAAUGUGUUUACCUUACUAGAUGCAUUAAAAAGAGAGGUUUUCACUCUGAAGUUACUUACACGGAUUUUAUUCACAUACUUGACUAAUUCAUACCUUCUCAUAUCAUAUUUCACUUACUUACCAUUUAACUUCUUAUUCAAACAGUAUCUCACACAUAACAUCAUUAUAUUCAUUACACAUGAACAACCUUUUCAAUACUUUGUAUACACACUUACCAAUUGUCUGAAAGGUUCUCUUUUUAUAUUUCUAUUUGUAUUGUUCACAUGUAGGAGUUAGGAUAGAAACUCACCUAGACUAUAGCUUGAAGUUCCAAAACUUGAACAUCCCUCUCGAACCAACAGCAUCAAGUACUUAAAGAAUAUGGAACCAUCAUUAAAACCCAUUUAUAGACAAAUGACUAGCAUCUCAAUUAUAGAAAAGCUCCAUGCAAGGUCCCUUAUUCACAACUCACUAUUCAAAUGCUUUUUACUACCCUUAUUCUUUCAAAAACUUAACAUACAAAGCUAUCAGACUCACCAAGAUAUGGAUCAUCCACUCAUUCCAUCAAAACCUUAGCUUCCAAUUUAAAUAAAUAGGAAGAACAUUUAUAAGUUGAGAAAAAGAACCAGAGGGUAGUACUAAAAAAAGAAAACCAACCUAACGAACCUUUCUCACUAUUUAUAUAUAUCCAGCUUCCCUUAAUUGAAAGUCGACAAGUGUUGGUUGUAUCCAGAAUUUUUCCUUAUAAUUGGCCUAUAGAACCCAAGGGAAAUAUAAAUGAGGAUCCAGUACAAGUUUUACUUGACCAAUGAAUUUAGUUGGACCCUAACCAGAUCACAUUAAAAAACCAACUAGCAUAGUGCUCAAGCAAAUUGGAAGUACUAUGCAUAUGGUGGUAACUCUUACCAGGCAUACUUUUCACUUGUUCUAAUCUUUUCUUAAAUAGCAAAAUAACCUGAUAUAAACUCUUUAAUUAAUUCUACGACAGAUACUCUAUGCAUCAAUCAUCAAUUUGCCAAAAACUUAUAUAUUGACGAAUUAUCACCUAGGUGCACCAAAACAAAUAACAUGCACCACUAUACGCCUUUCUCUCGGAUCUGCCAGAUUUGGGAUGUGAUAUGUUUACUUAAUCUAUACCAUUUUUCCAUCCCACCAAUAGUAGUAAUUAUUCAUGUAUAAAUAUUAGUAGUACAAUCUUUUGAUAUCUCACUCUUAGUAAGCAUAGAAAAUUCAAGAUCAGAUACUCAGGACUAGACAACCGACCACUUUAAGAUAACACAUCAAAGUGCUUACAUCCAAAGACUGAAGUAAUGCAUCCAUAAUGCACAAGAGUGUUACACCCUAAGGCUUUAAAUACAAUCGAAACUGCAUUUCCUAUCAUACGCAUGCGUAAAUCCUAUUAGCAUGUCAAACGUGUCCUAGCUAUUUGACUAAGGGUGGAUUUGGAUGGGAGGUGCGGUGCGUUUAGUUUACUUUUUGUCUCACACUAUAGCAUCGGUACAGUAUUUAAUCUCACCUCCACUAUUGUUUUUACACUAACCACAGGUAAACACACCGCCCAUCCAAACCCACCCUAAGUUACUAGGACAUUUAACACUUUUUAACAUUAAAUAAAUUCAAUUUCAACCAUGUUUACUUAGGCACUCUUAUUAUAACAAUUUUCCUUCAUAUUACUAGGAUCACAUUUCCAAGUUCUAACUAGCCAUCUUAUUGCCAAUUUAUAAUGUUUCAAUGUUUAUUUCCUACUUUUGUUGGAAAAAAUCUAGUUCGAAAAUGGUUUUCUUGCACAGUGAAAAAUAAAACUUUGAAAAUCAAAUCGGUUUGUGAUAUUUAUAGUAAUAAACUUUUUCCUAAAAUCUCACAUAUGUUUUGGGCUAGAGGGAUCCUAGACAUUCUUGACUUUCAACCAAACGACCUUUUCUGCUAUUCUCACACCACAAAACUACUUCAAGUGUGGACCCGAACACUUUCGAAUAUGGGUUCGAACACUUUCGAAUCAAACACAAAACAAAAAAUUAUUUUUUAAAAUUUUAGUGGGAAAGUAAAACUUUCUUUCACAUAGUGUAACACCCCAUACCCAGUAUAGUCGUCAGACCCCGAGCUACAGGAUGUCACAACAAUAAAUAGAAAUAUUUGUAUACAAAUUACUCAAUAAUAUUCAAUAAUUUCAUUUAAAUAAGUUAAAUCUAUAUUUAACAUGCAUUACAAACAAAACUACGUCUCAAUCGGGCUUACCAAAGCCCUUAAACAAGUUCGAAACUAAACCGAGAUCAUUUUGAAACUUUUACAAAUAAAAACUGGUAGAAUUGUUAUUCCUAGAAAAUAGAAUUUAUUCUAGAAAAUAAAUUUCCACUACUUUCUAGCAGAAUAACAAUAUUGAAAACUUAUGAGAGACUUGUGUUUCUCUAAUUUUUUGGGUGUGUUUUGAAACCUGCCAGUAGCAUCUAUUAAUAGUGAGAGUUGGAAGAAUCCUUAUUGAAUUAGUAGAACCCAAAUAACAUUAAUUUAAUAGAAAAAAAACCCUAGCUCCCUAAUAUUUAGGAGAGAGGGAGGACAACCUUAGGUAAAAAUACUAGAGUUUUUAAUCCUUUUGUUUCCAUGAAGAGGGAAUUUGGCCUCUCCUAUACUAGGUCUAAUUAUAUGUGCUUCUUGGGCUUUUAACCCAUACAUUAUAAUGUAAUCUAACCUAGUACAUGUUUUUUCUAUUUCCUUAAAUAAAUAUUAUUUACAAAAUUAAUUUAAAUAAUUAAUUUCUCAAUUAAAAAAUUUUCUCAACUCAACUCUAAUUUCAUUAAAAUCAUGAUAACUUUAUCGUAAAAGAACCUAUAAGAAAAUAUAUUUAAUUUUUCUACAUCCAAUAUAUUCACAAUGACCAAUUAGUUUAAUUUUAUUUUUGAUCUUCAAUUAAUUAAAUAAUUAAUUGAUUAAAAAAAACAUAUAUUAAUUCUCAAAUCAUUUCCAUACUUUAGUGAGAAACCACAUUAAUUUUCGAAUGUAACUCAUUUCUCUAACUUUAUCAUUUCUAUCCAUUUUUGUUCAUUUGAUUUAACAUGCAAUUCAUUUCUGGUUUCAACAAGCUAGUGGAGGGACCAACUGGACAUAUGUGAUUAGUGCUCAAAUGAUUUAUCAUUAAGUUCCAGUUUUUCUCUUAUUAAUUAUAAACUCAUUCAGUCACGAAGCAAUUCCACUAUGGUAUCGUGACUAAGCUCUCCCUAGUGACAUACCAUUAUGAAAGUUACUCGAUCAGUACUUGUCCAAUUACCUUGUCAUAAGUAUGUUACCACCAUAGGUUAUCUAAUGGUAAUCGUUACAUCUUCCUUCAUGAAAAUUCAAUUGCUAUCAAAUAGUAAUCAAGUCACCUAUCACAAAGACAUACAACCUGUGGCAAUAUUUACCUUUUAUCUAUCAUGUAAUGACGAUGAUAGCAUAUCAUUUACCAUUAGUUAGGCUAUGAAUUUCACUAUUGUGAAUUAUGCUACAUACUAAAAAAGUUGUAUACCCAACACACAAACUUUCGGUUUCUUAUCUAUUUGAACUUUGGCUUUUACUAACAUGAAAGUAUAUGAGUCAUGCAUACAUAGUCCAUCAUCCACUCAGGAUUAAGGUAUGCUACACUAUGAACGUCACAAAUGAAUAAAUCCAUAAAUGGAUUUAGAAUCUAUUCUACUUGGGUCCAAUCCAAUGUAUUGUCAGUCCAAUCAAUCACAUAUAUUUUUCUAUCUUCUAGGAGUCAUCUGCUCCAAUGCCCAAGAUAAAGCAUCUCUCUAAGUGGACUCGAUAGAUGACAUAGUAGUCUUUCAAUCAGUUUACUCAUUUCCGAUUAAACUAAGGAUAUGUUUAUAUAUGUCUACUAAUAUAAGUUAUCUUUUUGUAUUAUGAUCUGACCACGUAAUACCACUUAGUAUUAGUUAAACAUUAGACAACUAGUGAGCCAAUAUUUGCUUCCAUUUUACCCUGGAUACAAAAAUCAUUGAGAACAAUAUACAAAUGGUAUUAAUGUAAUUCAUAUAAUAAUUUUAUUAACCAAUCUGUUCGAAAAAAUUACAAAUGUACAAAUGAAUAUAGUACACUUAUGACACUAGAUCCAACAGCUUCAUCACCAAUACUCAUUCAUGUACAUGUCUGCAUGUGUUUGUCAUAGUCUUAUUGAGACAAGGCAUUUAUUGCCUCUUAUUGGACAUCAACAUUAUUCACAUUUAAGCCUUAUGAUGCAUAAUUUCUUUCCAAUUUUGUUAUUUAAGAUAAUAGUCAUUUAACACACAUUCAUGAUUUUUACUCAAUCAUUUGAAUAAUUAAUUACCUUAAAAAACAAUUAUGUUUAUUCCACCAUAUCACUCUUCUCUAGUGACACCAUGAUAUUUAAGGUUUUAUAUUAUUUUCACAACUAACUUCCACUAGUUUAACAAAACCUUAAUAGCAAUACACUUAGCAUGUUUUAUUAAUUAAUUUAAAUACCUUAAACAAUGGUUUCAUAUUCCAUACACUUAUCUUAAAUUAUUAACUAAAUCUUUUAAUUCAUACUUAAUCUUUUCUAAGGAAAAGCAUGAAAGUCCAAAGGCACUUACCUUUUGGACGCUCUUAAACACAAAAUCAAGCUUUCAAACACUUGUUUCGAUCCUCAUCCUUGCUAGGAAAUCCAAAACUCAAACAUUUCCUCAUUUUCCUUACACACAAAAUUAUUUCAAAACUCAAUAUCCAAACUACAAAACUUAUAUUCAACAAAUAAAAUCAAAUAAUAAACUAGGAGAGAUGAAUUCACCAUAUCUUACCUUAAUGAAGCUAUCUCUUUCUAGCUUACAUUUUCUCUCUCAUAAACCCAUAAAUCCUUUUUGAAAUUUGAUAAAGAUGAUGGCCUUUUUGAAAUUUGAUAAAGAUGAUGGAGGAAAUGAGUGUAGAAGAUAGUUUUCUAAGUGAUUUUAUCAAGAAUCAAGGUUAGGUGUUGAGUUUCUUGAAAAAUCUCAAAGAGAAAACAUGAAAAAUGAAGAGAACCCAUGUAGAAAGGGGCUGGUCAAAAGCUGCUUGUAGGAGGCAGAUGGGAGUUGGUUUCUCUUCUUUCUUUACUUUAAAACUCACACGCC